CAGCAGAAAGCCUCCAACACUCAUUUUGUGCAGUGAGUCUACUCCAGUAAGUCCCUGGUAAAGCUCCUGCUGCUCCAACUCAAGAGAGAGAGCCCCAGAUCCUGCUCAGUGCCUCAAUAUUGCAGAACAGAGGGAGUGAGGGAAACAUUUAAUUUCCAACUCUGAAGGUCUACCAUGGAGAAGAGAGGAGCAGAAGGAAGAACUUAAUACUGGUGGAGCACUUG
rnacentral:lncRNA from 10 species